rnacentral:rRNA from 1 species
CAGCAGCCGCGGGAAUACGUAGGGUGCAAGCGUUAAUCGGAAUUACUGGGCGUAAAGCGUGCGCAGGCGGUUUGUUAAGACAGAUGUGAAAUCCCCGGGCUCAACCUGGGAACUGCAUUUGUGACUGGCAAGCUAGAGUCUGGCAGAGGGGGGUGGAAUUCCGCGUGUAGCAGUGAAAUGCGUAGAUAUGCGGAGGAACACCGAUGGCGAAGGCGGCCCCCUGGGCCAACACUGACGCUCAUGCACGAAAGCGUGGGGAGCAAACAGGAUUAGAUACCCCAGUAGUCCCUGUCUCUUAUAC